UACGAAGGUCCCGAGCGUUGUUCGGAAUCACUGGGCGUAAAGGGAGCGUAGGCGGCGUGGUAAGUCAGAUGUGAAAUCCCGGGGCUCAACCCCGGAACUGCAUCCGAUACUGCCGUGCUUGAGGGUUGGAGAGGUAGCUGGAAUUAUCGGUGUAGCAGUGAAAUGCGUGGAUAUCGAUAGGAACACUCGUGGCGAAGGCGAGCUACUGGACAACAUCUGACGCUGAGGCUCGAAGGCUAGGGGAGCAAAAGGGAUUAGAAACCCCCGUAGUCC
rnacentral:rRNA from 1 species